CUUACCACUGUUUCCUCGGUGGAAGGUACCCGAAAGGGUGCCGGUAAGCCGGUGGACAUUUAAACUCUUGUUAAUUUUGUUAAUUCUGAAUCAAACUAAGAAAUAAGUUAAAACUUUCAACAACGGAUCUCUUGGUUCUGGCAUCGAUGAAGAACGCAGCGAAAUGCGAUAAGUAAUGUGAAUUGCAGAAUUCAGUGAAUCAUCGAAUCUUUGAACGCACAUUGCGCCCAUUAGUAUUCUAGUGGGCAUGCCUGUUCGAGCGUCAUUCCAACCCUUAAGCCUAGCUUAGUGUUGGGAGACUGCCUAAUACGCAGCUCCUCAAAACCAGUGGCAGAGUUUUUACGUACUCUGAGCGCAGUAAUUCUAUUCUCGCUUUUGAACACGUCUAGACGAUAGCCAAAAACCGCUUGCUUCGGCAGCACUUUUUUAAUGGUUGACCUCGGAUCAGGUAGGAAUACCCGCUGAACUUAAGCAUAUCAAUAAGCGGAGG
rnacentral:rRNA from 1 species